UUUUACGGAGAGUUUGAUCCUGGCUCAGGAUGAACGCUGGCGGCGUGCUUAACACAUGCAAGUCGAACGGAAAGGCCCUGCUUUUGUGGGGUGCUCGAGUGGCGAACGGGUGAGUAACACG
rnacentral:rRNA from 1 species